AACGAACGCUGGCGGCAGGCUUAACACAUGCAAGUCGAACGCCCCGCAAGGGGAGUGGCAGACGGGUGAGUAACGCGUGGGAAUCUACCUAGUUCUACGGAACAACUGAGGGAAACUUCAGCUAAUACCGUAUACGCCCUACGGGGGAAAGAUUUAUCGGAAUUAGAUGAGCCCGCGUUGGAUUAGCUAGUUGGUGGGGUAAUGGCCUACCAAGGCGACGAUCCAUAGCUGGUCUGAGAGGAUGAUCAGCCACACUGGGACUGAGACACGGCCCAGACUCCUACGGGAGGCAGCAGUGGGGAAUAUUGGACAAUGGGCGCAAGCCUGAUCCAGCCAUGCCGCGUGAGUGAUGAAGGCCUUAGGGUUGUAAAGCUCUUUCAGUGGGGAAGAUAAUGACGGUACCCACAGAAGAAGCCCCGGCUAACUUCGUGCCAGCAGCCGCGGUAA
rnacentral:rRNA from 1 species